AAAGAAAUGGUGUUGAAUUUGAUCAGUAUACCCCCCCCCCCCACACCCAUUUUACUUACCCAGACUCUUUUCCUGUGGUUAACUAAGGUCUUUCACAGGUGUGACGUCAGGCUGCAGACUACAAGAAUGCUGGUGCAUCAGAUAAUGAGUACAUUAGUCUGGAUUUCAAGGGACCUGUGCUGCAUAGAAGCAAGUGCUGAAGAGUGGUGGAGACACAAAAGAGUAUGGGAAAGUUGUUCAAGUGACAAGCUGCUGAAGUGAUAUUGGCAACUGGCAAGUCUGGUGUGGGAAAGAGAUGAUCAUCACAGACAGCAUCUGAGGAAGGUCUUCAGACAAAGGGUUAAGAGGUACAUUAAUCAAAGAUUAACUGGAUUGCAUGUAGAAUAUCUCUGUAGAAAUGUCACACCUGAGACUUAUUAAACUCCCUCCUGAAAAGGUAAAUAGAAUUUGUGAUAG
rnacentral:lncRNA from 1 species